UACGUAGGUGGCGAGCGUUAUCCGGAAUUAUUGGGCGUAAAGAGCGCGCAGGUGGUUGAUUAAGUCUGAUGUGAAAGCCCACGGCUUAACCGUGGAGGGUCAUUGGAAACUGGUCGACUUGAGUGCAGAAGAGGGAAGUGGAAUUCCAUGUGUAGCGGUGAAAUGCGUAGAGAUAUGGAGGAACACCAGUUGCGAAGGCGGCUUCCUGGUCUGUAACUGACACUGAGGCGCGAAAGCGUGGGGAGCAAACAGGAUUAGAUA
rnacentral:rRNA from 1 species